rnacentral:rRNA from 1 species
AAGGCCAUCCGUCAGGAUGGCCUUCUGCUUAAUUUGAUGCCUGGCAGUUUAUGGCGGGCGUCCUGCCCGCCACCCUCCGGGCCGUUGCUUCGCAACGUUCAAAUCCGCUCCCGGCGGAUUUGUCCUACUCAGGAGAGCGUUCACCGACAAACAACAGAUAAAACGAAAGGCCCAGUCUUUCGACUGAGCCUUUCGUUUUAUUUG